rnacentral:rRNA from 1 species
UGCAAGUCGAGCGAAUGGAUUAAGAGCUUGCUCUUAUGAAGUUAGCGGCGGACGGGUGAGUAACACGUGGGUAACCUGCCCAUAAGACUGGGAUAACUCCGGGAAACCGGGGCUAAUACCGGAUAACAUUUUGAACCGCAUGGUUCGAAAUUGAAAGGCGGCUUCGGCUGUCACUUAUGGAUGGACCCGCGUCGCAUUAGCUAGUUGGUGAGGUAACGGCUCACCAAGGCAACGAUGCGUAGCCGACCUGAGAGGGUGAUCGGCCACACUGGGACUGAGACACGGCCCAGACUCCUACGGGAGGCAGCAGUAGGGAAUCUUCCGCAAUGGACGAAAGUCUGACGGAGCAACGCCGCGUGAGUGAUGAAGGCUUUCGGGUCGUAAAACUCUGUUGUUAGGGAAGAACAAGUGCUAGUUGAAUAAGCUGGCACCUUGACGGUACCUAACCAGAAAGCCACGGCUAACUACGUGCCAGCAGCCGCGGUAAUACGUAGGUGGCAAGCGUUAUCCGGAAUUAUUGGGCGUAAAGCGCGCGCAGGUGGUUUCUUAAGUCUGAUGUGAAAGCCCACGGCUCAACCGUGGAGGGUCAUUGGAAACUGGGAGACUUGAGUGCAGAANAGGAAAGUGGAAUUCCAUGUGUAGCGGUGAAAUGCNUANAGAUAUGGAGGAACACCAGUGGGGAAGGCGACCUUCUGGUCUGUAACUGACACUGAGGCGCGAAAGCGUGGGGAGCA